UGCGCAGGUGGGGAAGUAAGUCAGUGGUGAAAGGCUGCCGCUUAACGGUAGGACUGCCAUUGAUACUGCUUUUCUUGAGUAUGGUUGAGGUAGGCGGAAUGUGUUGUGUAGCGGUGAAAUGCAUAGAUAUGACACAGAACACCGAUUGCGAAGGCAGCUUACUAAGCCGUUACUGACGCUGAGGCACGAAAGCGUGGGUAGCGAACAGGAUUAGAUACCCUGGUAGUCC
rnacentral:rRNA from 1 species